AGCGAACGCUGGCGGCAGGCCUAAUACAUGCAAGUCGAGCGCACCUUCGGGUGAGCGGCGGACGGGUGAGUAACGCGUUGGAACGUGCCCUUUGGUACGGGAUAACUGAGGGAAACUUCAGCUAAUACCGUAUGUGCCCUACGGGGAAAGAUUUAUCGCCAUUGGAGCGGCCCGCGUUGGAUUAGGUAGUUGGUGAGGUAAAGGCUCACCAAGCCUACGAGCCAGAGCUGGUCUGAGAGGAUGAACAGACACACUGGGACUGAGACCCGGCCCAGACUCCUACGGGAGGCAGCAGUAGGGAGUCUUGCGCAAUGGGCGAAAGCCUGACGCAGCCAUGCCGCGUGAAUGAUGAAGGUCUUAGGAUUGUAAAAUUCUUUCACCGGGGAAGAUAAUGACGGUACCCGGAGAAGAAGCCCCGGCUAACUGCGUGCCAGCAGCCGCAGUAAAAC
rnacentral:rRNA from 1 species